AGGAUGUUACAGUAAAAGAAGAGGAGGAUGCAGUUUUUGGAGUGGAGGAGGAUGAGGGGGAGAUGACUGUCACAUUGAAAGAGGAGAAGAAGGAAGAACAAGAACAGGGGGAGACAGGAGAUCUGAUUAAGACCAGAGAAAGACCAGACUCUCCCUCUGACAGCAGGAAGAGUCCUUCAGGGGAACCAGACCCAGAGACGCCCAAACCAGCGAGACAACACCACUGCUCCCACUGUGAAAAGAGUUUUACUAAGUUACGAAACCUAAAAGAGCAUGAGAGGACACACACAGGAGAAAAGCCUUUCCAAUGUCCCCAGUGUGGAAACAGUUUUAGUCAGUUAGGGAGCCUGAAAAUACAUAAGAGAAUACACUCUGGAGAGAAGCCUUACCGCUGCUCCCACUGUGGAAUUACUUUUACCUGGUUAGGAAGCCUGAAGUCACAUGAGAGAAUACACACAGGAGAAAAGUCCUACCACUGUUCCCACUGUGGAAAGAGUUUUAGGUGGUUAGAAGGCCUGACAAAGCACGAGAGGACACACACAGGAGAAAAGCCCUACCAAUGCUCCCACUGUGGAAAGAGUUUUACUCAGUUGGGGAACCUGAAAUCACAUCAGAGGAGACAUACACAGGAGGAGAAGACAUACCACUGCUCUCAUUGUGGAAAGACAUUUUCCCAGUCAGAGGACCUGAAAUCACAUGAGAGAAUAGAGAGGCUGUGUUCUGACUUAUGUUUUUGACUGAGAAUUAGUGUUUUUGUUCAUGCCAAAUGAAAUCGUAUUGUUUAUAUGAAAUCAUAAAAAAAAAAACUUUACUUUUGCUUUUGUUUUUUAUCUGGAGACCUGAUCAUGUCUAAAAUCAGAUAAAAUAUUUUAAAAUAUGUAUAUUAUUUUUCUUAUGAGCCUCGAUUGAUUGGAGGCAAAAUGUCAACCCUAUGAUGUUGUUCAUUAUAUUAUUUGCAAAAUGUAAAUUAUUAUAUAAGUAAGUAGCCUUCUAGAACAGUUAAUAGAAACAGGAGCCUUGUCUUGUAUGAUCCAGAACGUCUGUCUGACAUUGUGAGAGUAAUAAGGAAAAUAUUUUUAGUUUUCAUUGUAUUUCCAUAUCUUGACAGGCUAUAUAUAAUUUGACCGCAUCAAUGCAUUUCUAACGAUUACAAUCUGUAUAAAGUCCAGUAAUUUGUUACAUUAGAGGCACGUGUGAAAGGUAAUCCAUUGUGUAAAUACUGUUAAAAGACUAAGAGAUAAUACAUUUUGAAAUGGAAGGAGAGAUGUCUGAUCUGCUCUGUUGGAACAUUUUGCCACACUGCCAUAUACGACAUCACACAACAGGUUGAAGUCAAAGAGGGGUUUCUUUGACAUGAUGUCAUCAAUGGGUUCCCAAAUAUGAGCAGAAGAUGCUGCUGAAUGUGUGGCCAUGACUCACGACUCAUUCAGUUCUGCAGAACAGCAGUGUGUUGCCUAUACCCUUACAGGAGGAAGCUGUUGAGGGUGGAUGGCUUAUUGGGGAGUGUUGUCUACUCAUUCAACGUAUAUUUACCUUCUUGCUAAAGCAACUUGAGUUAUAAUAGUCCUCUCUCUGUGUUCUUAUUGGUUAAUCUCUCUGUGUUCUUAUUGGUUAAUCUCUCUGUGUUCUUAUUGGUUAAUCUCUCUGUGUUCUUAUUGGUUAAUCUCUCUGUGUUCUUAUUGGUUAAUCUCUCUGUGUUCUUAAGCCACAACGGAGACAAAUUAAAGCUGUACUCAAGUUGUACUCAAACUUUGACACGA